rnacentral:sRNA from 1 species
UUUAUAUUUUGCAUUUAUCAGUUUGUAUAUUUUCUCCAACUCUCUAAUGCAGUGACAUUUUUCUCUAUGGUAGCUCUAGUUUCAUUCAGCCAAUAAAUUUUUACUGAUGAGUGGGGGAACUUUGAUGAUAAUCAGUGUUUAUAGAUGUUUUUUUGAAUUGGAUAAAGCUAUUAGUUUAAAGAGUUGGGAGCAAACAGUAUAAACUGUACUUGUACAGAGUUUGGCAGAGAUCUAGGACAGAAAAGUACAUGACUUUAACUAAAACUAGGGCAUUAAUGGAUCACUGAUAUUAGCAGUUUGGACUGUAUAGAAAAAGCAGAGAAGUGACUACUCAUUAGUAUGCCUGAGAUUUUGGUAAUCAUGAUUCACCUGCUAGUUUGCUUGUGUUUUUUAAUGUCAAAAGGUGAAUAAAUUAACCCUUUUGCAUCUUCUCAGCAGCAGAAGGAAAGAGAUUCUGGGAUGGAAAACCUUGACAUGUAUACACUGAACAAGAAAACAUAAGGCUAAUACGAUAACAUUUGAAUUAAACAAUAAUAAGGACCUUUGAACCCAACUCCAAUACCAAGUUCAUGUCCUGCAAAGUCAAGUCUGAGAUUGGAAUAAGAGUUUCCAGAACAACAGUGACAGCGAAAUCUACAGUGAGAUUCAGACCAUGAAGCCAUGAAGAGAUGCUUACUAUUAAUAGGUGGCAGGGUGGGGUGGUUGGUAAUGGAAGCUUUCGAAGAAAGGAAAGGUACCCGUGGGUUUUAAAAUAUCCGUAGAUUUUUUAAAAUGGGUACUUGCAUUGCUAGUGGGUGGAUUGCGGAUGGAUUUUUCAUUUUGUGGGUUGGAUUGCGAGUAAACAUUAUCCGUACUCAAUCCGACUCGUCAUCCCAAGAUGUGUGUGGGCAGCAAAAUCGGUGGUUCGUUUGCAAAAAUUUCAAUGAUGCCGAUAAUAUUUCCAGUCAAAGGUGUCCUUGGUCGCAAGCAUAGAAGAGAUUCAGAGUGCUUCUCCUUGCACCUCACCCAUCUCACCCUACACCUCCUUAUUCUUUCAUAUUUCCAACUGUGCCCCUAUAAUCUUUUGACUGAUUUUUUUAUUUGACCCAUUCAACAAUUAAAAAAAGGCACUAACCCCUUCCUCCUCUGCCUCUCUUUCCCAAACCCUACACCCCCUUUCUCCUUCCUUCCUCCUCUAUCACUCUUUGUUGCAUUUCAUAUUCCCAAACCCUACACCCCCUUUUUUUUCUCCUCUCUUCUUGCAGAGUAAUCCUCCCCUCCUCCCUCAUUUUACUUGUUGCAGUCUCGCACUUAAUUCUCACAGACAUGUUCUCGUUUGGUGGCUAUGUCGUGGGAGCUCUUGCAAUGGUGGUUGUGUGGUUGAAGACCUUGUCGUACUUGGAAGUGCGGUUGAGAGGCUGUCGGAGUUAGAGAUGCGGUUCAUGGUAGUCACACUUGGGAGUGCGGUUGACGCUCGCUACACUUGGAAUUGCGGUUGAUGUUCACCGUAGUUGGAAUUGCAGUUUAGGGUUUUUUUUCUUGCUCCUAGGCGUGGCUCCGUGGCCUCCUCCGCUUACAUCCACAUCUGUCGCGGCUUCGAUUGCCAGAAGGUCCUGCAGGUGCCGCUUCUAGUCGACAACAUCUUCGUGGUGCUGGUCUCUGCCUUGGGAAUCAUGGGGUCGUUGUACCAUGUCAACACGACGCUCUACGCCUACCUCUUCAUCACGUUCGCGCUCAUCGUGGGCCUCGCCAUC